GAUGAAGAACGUAGCGAAAUGCGAUACGUAGUGUGAAUUGCAGAAUUCAGUGAAUCAUCGAAUCUUUGAACGCACAUUGCACCUCUCGGUAUUCCGGGAGGUAUGCUUGUUCGAGCGUCAUUUGUACCCUCAAGCUCUGCUUGGUGUUGGGUGUUUGUUCCGCCUCUGUGUGUGAACUCGCCUCAAAACAAUUGGCAGCCGGCGUACUUGUUUCGGAGCGCAGCACAUUUUGCGAUCCAGAUCAACGUACAGCGGCAUCCAAGAAGCCUUAUUUAACGCUCUUGACCUCGGAUCAGGUAGGGAUACCCGCUGAACUUAAGCAUAUCAAUAAGCGGAGGA
rnacentral:misc_RNA from 1 species